GACGAACGCUGGCGGCGUGCUUAACACAUGCAAGUCGAGCGGUAAGGCCCUUUCGGGGGUACACGAGCGGCGAACGGGUGAGUAACACGUGGGUGACCUGCCCUCAGCUCUGGGAUAAGCCUGGGAAACUGGGUCUAAUACUGGAUAUGACUCCACGGUGCAUGUCGUGGGGUGGAAAGUCUUGUGCGGCUGAGGAUGGGCCCGCGGCCUAUCAGCUUGUUGGUGGGGUGAGGCCUACCAAGGCGACGACGGGUAGCCGGCCUGAGAGGGCGACCGGCCACACUGGGACUGAGACACGGCCCAGACUCCUACGGGAGGCAGCAGUGGGGAAUCUUGCGCAAUGGGCGAAAGCCUGACGCAGCGACGCCGCGUGAGGGAUGACGGCCUGG
rnacentral:rRNA from 1 species